AUUGAACGCUGGCGGCAGGCCUAACACAUGCAAGUCGAGCGGAUGAGUGGAGCUUGCUCCAUGAUUCAGCGGCGGACGGGUGAGUAAUGCCUAGGAAUCUGCCUGGUAGUGGGGGACAACGUUUCGAAAGGAACGCUAAUACCGCAUACGUCCUACGGGAGAAAGCAGGGGACCUUCGGGCCUUGCGCUAUCAGAUGAGCCUAGGUCGGAUUAGCUAGUAGGUGAGGUAAUGGCUCACCUAGGCGACGAUCCGUAACUGGUCUGAGAGGAUGAUCAGUCACACUGGAACUGAGACACGGUCCAGACCCCUACGGGAGGCAGCAGUGGGGGAAUAUUGGACAAUGGGCGCAAGACCUGAUCCAGCCAUGCCGCGUGCAGGAAGAAGCAUCUAUGGUGUGUAAACUG
rnacentral:rRNA from 1 species